GGGGAUGUAGCUCAGUUGGGAGAGCACCUGCUUUGCAAGCAGGGGGUCGCCGGUUCGAAUCCGGUCAUCUCCACCA
rnacentral:tRNA from 1 species